GAAGGAAACUAGCUUAGUGCAUGUGUGUGUUGAAGGGGGAGGAGCUGAGAUUGCAUAUUUAUAUUAGUCCAAGGGGUGGUGGUCUAGGGUAGAAUGGUUCCACAUGCUUCACCAAUAAGAUAAAAGUCCUAAACGUAAUUAUCAAUUAUAAUCCGAUUCAUAGACUUAAAGCCUGGGAAUCUGGAUAUACCAAAAGAGACAAACCAAGUGUUUUCAUAUAUGAAAAUUUCCAUUCUUGGAUUUGAAUGUGAUCAGGAAGGGCACUUCAGUCACUCACCUGUGCAACAUUGCAGAAUAGAUCCUUCUCUGGUUGACCACCACCUAGGCGCGUGAAGGGUAUGAAGCAGCACUAGGUUGGCAAAGCCAUGCAGUUGUGUGGUUUUCACGUUCUGGUUUGACCCUUCUAUUUCCAUUCUGCUUCUGCAUUUUCAUAUCUAGGUUGCAAGAGCUCUCAACCUUACUUAUACUAGUAAUAAAAGCAUCUUCCAUCAUACAUACAACCAUAUAAGAUUUUCUUAUUUUUCUACAAAUUUUGCACUCAUGAUGUUAACUUGUAUUUCCUUCACCCUGAAACUGAAGGUUGGAUGUUGGUGAUGUCAAAGACACAAAUAUCAAGAAGUGUCCAAGGCCUGAUCUACAGCACCAGUGCAUCAAAUAUCUUGAACCGGGAGAGGGAAGCAUAUGAAGUGGAGUCAUAUACAGUAAUUGGAGGAUGGAGAGUAUGACAACAUGAAUUGUUUAUCACAAACGCAGCGCUCCUUGCUAUAUAUAGUUAUGCUGAGGGAGUCUUCAACAUCAAAUGUACAUGACAAUGCUACUGCACUAUUAAUGGAUGAUUCUACCACACUCCAGAUAGCUUGGUUUCUCAAUUCAUGGAAUCGGCUUGAAUGCAUCUUUUGGCAGGAAACACUUGAGUAAAUGGUGGAUAUUGAGUUUGGUUAUGAAGAACGUAUUAGAGUACAUCAUUACAGUUAAGAGGAUUUUAUGCACUCUAGAAUUGUAGUUGCUUGUAUUUGGUUUGAUGUCUCUUUUUGUAGUUUUUUAAGUUAUAUAUGAAAUGACCAUUGAAGAUGUAUUAUAUAGGUCAUUUCAGAAAUAAUAACUCAUUGAUGUUAUAGCUUAUAGGUGUCUUUAGAACAAAUAGCUCUUUGUAAAUUUUCUUGGUUUUGGCAAUGAGAAUGAAUUUGAGAU